rnacentral:lncRNA from 1 species
ACCAGACCGAUCCAUAGGCACAUAUGGUUCAUCUGCUGGCUAUGUCCGGUGGUUCUUGGCCACCCCUCUCACCUUAGGGUUACGAUCUCCAGGGGCUGUCUCCUUCUCCUUCUCAAUCUCCUUCUCCUUGUCUUUCUGCCUAGUAUCCAUCCUCUUGAUCUCACCGACAAACUCCACCAGAAACAACCAGGAACCACCACAGAUCGGAUCGCCCAACCGUCAGUUUGUCUCUCUUUUCUCUGUGGAAGUUUUGUCUGAGUUUCCUGUGUUUUCUCCUCUGAUAUUUUCGACAGAGACCAGGGAAAAAAUGAAGAAGAAAUCUAUCAUAACCUCCCCCAUAACUGCCUGGACGAGCAGUUACCAAAAAUGUACCAAAAGGGCAGUUUUUCCCAUAACCGCCGCCCAGUAACUGCUCAUGGCGGUUAUUCUUCUUUUUCCUUCCUUU